rnacentral:lncRNA from 1 species
GGCCGAGGCAAGCAGAUCACCUGGGGUCGGGAGUUUGAGACCAGCCUGGCCAACAUAGUGAAACCCCGUCUCUACUAAAAAUACAAAAAUUAGCUUGGUUUGGUGGUACAUGCCUGUAAUCCCAGCUACUCAGGAGGCUGAGGCAGGAGAAUUGCUUGAACCCAGGAGGCAGAGGUUGCAGUGAGCCGAGAUCGCGCCACUGCACUCCAGCCUGGGUGACAGAGCGAGACUCCGUCUCAAAAAAAAAAAAUUCAGUCUGGGCGCCUAUAGUCCCACCUACUUAGGAGGCUGAAGCAGGAAGAUUUCUUGAGCCCAGGAGUUCAAGGCCAGUCUGGGUAAUAUAGUGAGACCUGGUCUCUAAAAAAAAUUUUUCUAAUUAAAAUAAUUAGGUCUUGGAUUUUUCUGUCAUCAGAAAUGGGGGCAGGAAGAAUAAGCCUCUCUAAGAACUUCAGAGUACCUCACUGAGUUGAUUCGUAGGGUUAUGGAGGGUCAGAGUAGACAGAGACUUUAGAUGUCACUUAACACAGUGCUUUAUAACCUGGGGAAUCCCAGCACUUUGGGAGGCUGAGGCAGGUGGAUCACUUGAGGCCAGGAGUUUGAGACCAGCCUGGCCAGCGUGGUGAAACCCUGUCUCCACCAAAAGUACAAAAAUUAGCCAUGUGUGGUGGCAUAUGCCUGUAAUCCCAGCUACUCGGGAGGCUGAGGCAUGAGAAUUGUUUGAACCUGGAGGGCAGAGGUUGCAGUGAGCCAAGAUCGUGCCACUGCACUCCAGCCUGGGCAACAGAGCAAGACUCCAUUUCAAAAAAAAAAAAAAAAAAAAAAAAAAAAAGAAAAAAACAUAUUUUAGACACACACAAAAAGCAUCAAAAAAUAAUAUAAUGCACUUUGGGAGGCCGAGGCAGGCAG